CAGUGUUGCCGACAUUGUAGUAGGAGAUGUGUUAGGCGACGAAAUCAGAAAAAAUCAAAAUUGGUGGUUUCCUUUUACUACUACAAUCAUAGGCUCAAGAUCGCCUUCCACUUUUACGUCCUCGAGUGGACUACCCGUAUACAUUUCCACUCGUAACAAGGUGGAACCAUGACCUAAGUCAUUGGGAUUACCUAUUGAGUUUGAAGAUAAACGGCUUCUAUUGGACCAGCGAUCGGAAGUAGAUUUUGAAUGAACACCAUAUGAGGACCCGACAAUUCGGGCAGUAAUUCUUGAGGCAUUCUUUGUGCAUCCCAACGCCUGGCACGUUAAGGUCCAAUUGGUAGUAUACGCUACCUUCGAGAUGCACGAGGCGGAUAAAAUGUUGCGACAGUUCAAAUUCUGGCAAUCGAUUCCUAUGGCACCUCAAGAGCUUGAUGAUCUUCACCGUUUCGACUUAUAGUGAUCGGAUACUAAUUGGUCGGUAUUCCACUCACAAUCCAUCGAGAUGUGGAACAACCGGUAUGAUUUUUUACCUUCUCGUGACGCAAUUCUCAUUUUGGAGUUAACAUGCGAUCCAGAUUACAUGACAUGGUUUAGGAUCCAUGGCAAGCCAUAUUUGUUGACCAAAUAGGAUAGGCAUUAGUGUCUUCAUAUGAGUAGGCUACGACAGACCCUUUUAAAUCCAAGGUGUGGCGAGACAGCCCCAUCAUCAACGCCCACGCAAGAACCAACCCCGACGGCAUCAACACAGCCACCCUCACCACAUCCCCUUCAUUGUGCAUCAUCUUAUUCUGGUCAUUAUCAUAACUCUUUUGUUUUCACACACAAGCAUAAAAUAUUACACCUCAUUCUUCUGUUUCUAAUCCUAUGUCAAGUUAGAUUGUUGGUCAUCCAUCACCGAUGUGGUACACGUCUGGGCCAUCUCAUUUUCUGAUGGCGACGAUGUAUACGACAAUGUAUAGGCAUCUAUGCAUGAGGCACCAACGGGGAGUCCACUCAUUAUCCCAUCAACUUAUGGGGCUCAACAUAGUGACGCUUAUUCACUAUGGGUAACGCAAACACCUCUGGCAUCUUUGUUCUAUCAAGGUUGGUCAUCUUCUCAACCAUCUAGUAAUAGGCCGGGGGUUGCACAAAUGCAAGGAUCUACACCAACUGAAGGUGAACCCUAACAACCACAACCUCGGUCGAAAGCGGAACCUAGAAGAAAUCUAGCGCGUAACCGCCAACCACCCCAAUGUGCAGAGAUUUCGACUGGCAUAUGCACUAAUGAAUUGUAAAUUGUAUCAUUUAAAUUAAUAUAAUUUCUUUUGAAUAUUUUUUGUACACUGUCUAAUUUAGCUAUCUAUU